UAUCAGAUGAGCUCGGUUUGUGCCAUGCGGACCUGCACACACACACACACACACGUUCACACACACAGUCGCUCACACACACCACGCUGGCCAGCAAUAGGCUGGUGCAGUCGAUUCCCAGUGAAGACACGGAUCUGAGACAGAGGGAGAGAUCAGGAUGGGUGUUACAGGAGAAAUGAAGGAGGACGAGGCUGCGUAAGACAGCGCUGAGAGAUAAAGCGAGGGUGGGUGAGCAGAAGGGAGGAGAGGAGAGAGGAGAGGAGACAGCACCAGCCUCAGCAGGUUUGUGAGGGAGAACUAGAAGAAAAUCUGGCGAGAUAAAGUGCUUGUGAUGUUGCGUGGGGAUGAUGCUGAAUAUCAGCGCCGCUAUCACACUCUGGGCAGCAACACACGCCGCCUCUCCAACCCCGACAUGGAGGCCUAUGCUAAGCUCCACAAGAGCGGCGACAUGGAGCAUCAGAGAAACAAAUACCCUCCGCAGCACGCCGCCACGCUGGUCAACACCAACUGCGCACGACAGCAGCAGCCACAUUACUGGAGUUUUAAGGCGCGGACUCCACGCGGCGCUGCGGGGCUGCAGCAGCAGUCGCUGGGCGAGCAGGUAGGAGGGCGACUGUGUUAUGCGUCUGCGGAGAGUUUGGAAAGCAUGGCCGACGCUGAGCUGCCGCUGGGCUUCAGUCGCUCCAACAUCCUCAGACAGAGUCUUCCUCUGGCACGAUCGCCCAGCCAGGCUAAACUGAGAGCGCCAGCGGUGCUGUUCUUGCAGUUCGGUGACGAGACGCGGCGGGUGCACAUCACUCAUGAGCUGACCAGCAUGGAGACGCUUCACGCACUCAUCGUGCACAUGUUCCCUCAGAAACUGACGAUGGGCGCGUUGCGUUCGCCCGGCACGGCUCUGCUCAUCAAGGACGAGGCACGCAACAUCUUCUAUGAGCUGGAGGACCCUCGUGACAUCCACGACCGGUGUCUCAUCAAGAUUUACUGUAGAGAGGCUCCGAUACGAGACCCACACUACAGUGCUCAACACACGGCCCACCCCGUACACCACGCACACAUCGCCAACGGAGACCUGCGGAGAGAGCUGGUGUACACCUCGAGGGAAUCGUCUCCCACACGACGUUUAAACACACUCCCGUCUUCCUCUUCUCCCUCUGGAUCUCCGUCACGCUCGCAAUCGCGUCUUUCUUACACGGGUGGGCGUCCUUCCUCUUACGCCGGACCCCAUCCGUCGCCUCAGCUCCACCCCUAUCAGCAACACCACGCCCACCCUGGAGGCCACGCUCCCCAGCAGUCUGGCCACACCCACCCUGCAUUUUGCCCCUCCCCAAGUGCCAUUCUAGAACGGCGUGAUGUGAAACCGGACGAGGAAAUUGCAUCGUCCUCGAAAAGCGUGGUGUUGCUAAAAAACGAAGCGAUAUACGCAGACCCUUAUUCGCUAGUCCAGGAUCCUCGGCUCAGCGUGGCUUCGCCGCAGGCUAUGGCGUACCGCCGUGGAUCUGUGCGCUCUAUUGGUGGCUACCCCGCCGCGGCAUUGCAAUGUGAGCUCGAGGGCGCCCUCUACAGGCCUGGUGGUCCUAUAUACGCAGAUCCAUAUGCUACGAUGGGUUUCCGCACCUUACCUCCAGCCUCGCCUCAAAAACUGUCUGAUGGCAGGGAUCCGUAUGGGAGCCACCCGGGACGAGGGUCCCCUGGGAGACAUGGGUUUCGUAAAGAUGGCACUGUGUACAUAGAGAGUCCCAAGAAUCGUCCAGGAGGGCCACCUCUGGAGCAGAUAUGCAUGCUUGGGGGCCCCGGAGGAGAUGGAGGGCCGAUGCCAGUGUACGGCUCAACAUUACCUGGUAACGAAGAGACCAGAGAGCGGAUGGAGGCCAUGGAGAAGCAGAUAGCCAGUUUAACCGGACUGGUUCAGAGUGUUUUGACCCGAGGACCAGACAGCCCUGAGAAAGCAGAAACAGCGAGCGACUGCUCUGCACCAGAGACUGGAAGGUUUAGAAAACAAAAAGUGUCGUCGCCGUCUGCUCCUUUGGCCCUCAUGCCGCCUCCGCCAACUGCAGCAUCUCAGCCAAUAGCAAUGUCCCGUUUCCAAAUGCAGCUGCACCUGACUGACCUGCAGCAGCACACAGCUGAACUGCGCAAACAGCUGACACAACUGCGUCAGUUACAGUUGCAGAAUCAGGACUCUGUUCAGGCGUUACUGAGGCAGACGGAGUCUGAUUUGGGGAUGUGUCUGAUCGAGGCGUCUCGCACGCAAGAAGAUCCAUUACAGCGUCAGCGUCUUCUCGUUGAGGAGGAGAGGCUACGCUAUCUUAAUGAAGAAGAACUUAUUAUACAACAGCUACACGAUCUCGAGCGCUCAGUGGAGGAGAUGAAGACGGGGGCGGGGCUUAACCAUCACCUGGUGACCGAACAGGAAAUAGAACAGAAGAGUCUGGAGCUCAGGAGACUCGGAGAGACCGUCACAGACCUCAAGAAUCAGUUCCCCACUUUACAAAGUAAGAUGCGUGUGGUGUUGAGGGUGGAGGUGGAAGCCGUCAAGUUUUUGAAAGAGGAACCGCUAAGACUGGAGGCCCUGUUGAAACGCUGCAGAAACAUCACCAAUACACUCACUCUACUACGAAGGCAGGUAUCAGAAGGUGUGUGGAGGACACCCGAGGACUUCAGUAGUUCAGUUUCCAGCGCGAGUGACGCUGACUUCAGCAGGAGCUCUGAUCUAGAUAUUCUCAACAGCCCUUCUCUAAAUCUGCCCGACCUCGGGGGCACCUUAUCGGCCACUGCCACUCUUUCUGCCUCCCUUGGCACUCAUACCACAAAUCCUGGCCUGACGAGUGCGUCUAGUAUAGGAGGCACCACUAGUCUAUCUAACAUGCUCGGCUCCACCGUUGGUGCCAGUAUGAGCAGCGGUGGUUUUCCUGGCAGCACCACGCUGGGUAACUGGCUGGCUGGAGCCGGGGUAACAGAUCCCAUCAUGUCUGAACUGGACGGCACCUCCACAGGUCCAAUAAAGACCAGCGGCUUGGAAGAUCUGCCUGCACGCAGAGAAUCUGACAAAGGAGUGUCCGUGGAGGUCCGACUGGCUGCAGAGCGAGACUGGGAGGAGAAGAGAGCCAGUUUGACUCAGUUCAGCGCUCAAGACAUCAAUCGUCUGCUGGAGGAAACUCAAGCUGAGCUGAUGAAGGCCAUUCCAGAUCUGGACUUCGCCGCCAAGCAGAUCACGAAACCGGCUGUACCGCCAAAACCCCAGAUGUCCUCCCUCCCAGCGCCCGGCUCAACAUCCUCCACUCCUAGCUUAACACCUGAACAUCAGCCCAGCAAAACCCCACCAAAACCACCCAGCAAAGACGGCAUCCCACGCAGGGGAUCAGGGGAGUUGACAGUGCCACGGUAUCGUACAGAGAAGCCGUCCAAGUCUCCACCCCCUCCUCCUCCGCGACGGAGUUUCCCAUCAGGCCUUGGGCUCACGACCAACAGCAGUGGAGAAGUCAUCACCAUAAACAAGAGUGUGAAGAAGAUGGAGAACAGAGAGGAAGCUGAAGUACCGACUCAAUCCCAGACGCCUCCCGUCAAACUGAGACGUCCGUCGACCUCCGACGGGCCCCGACCGUCAUCCACACCUCCGGUCAUCGCUGCUUCUGGGAUGAAGGAAGAUGAGGAUGAAGAUGAGAAGAUAAUGGCAGAGCUGGAGGCGUUUCAGAGAGCCCCAGUGAGACUGAGGGUCACUGCUGAGGCCCAAAGCCCUGCUGAGGUCACUCCUAACAAUGUUGACAGGGCAGGCCAGUGGAUCAGCAACUCUCUGUGGAGAGAGCCUGUAGGCACUCCUCCGGGCUCCGCCAAACUGGUGCAGCCAUCUGCCGCGUCCCGUCUGCGGCACCUGCAGCAGAGCAGCCUGGAGCGCCGCAGCAGGAAACAGCAGGAGGAAUUCCCAAAGCUCCAGCAGGGUCAGCAGCAGGUUGACUAUCGCAUUAACUCUGAGGAAAGACUGUCUCCUGGUGGCCAUUGUAUGUAUAACAAAAGGAGGAAGGUAAAGGCACUAGUUUCUCUCAGGCUAUGCAUUGCUAAAUGUUUAGUGGGCACAUUAGAAAUGACAAUGUACUGAUUAUUCUUUCUUUUCUCUUCUCUUAUCCACUCACCUGUCCUAACUUGCUUGUAUUUUAUCCCAAGUCCAUCCUUUCCUGACCUCUUCUUCUCAUGCUGAGGUUAUAAUAGCCCAGCACCUGUAUUUUUGACACAUAUAUUGUUAAGACUAGCCCCUAUCUAUUCCUGCUGUCAUGCAUUUUUCCUUUACAAGUAAAUAUAGUUAUAACACUUGUUGAAAAGUAAAUAAAUAGGAUUUUAAUUCUGUUUAGGAUUAUGAUUAAGAAUUUAAUUGACUUUAAACUAUUGUAUGAGUCUGAUUUCAUAGAGGAAGGAAAUAUAUUUUCCUUUUCUGCCUCACGGCCUCAGAUUGUCUUAGCAUUGCCAAUCAAUUUUUUGUAGCGGCAUGUUGACUAUCAGCCUCCAAGUACUGCCCUGAGUGGUCCUACAUGCCCCCCCUUUACCCUGAGAUCUGAUCCUGUCUAAGGUGAACGCUUCAUGGCGACGAUGACCCUAGAAACCAGGGGAAGCACAGGUGACCUCUGAGCCUAAAUCAUCUCCCAGCUAAAGCACAACACCUCAGUACUGAAGAGCUCUGACGAAGUGGAUCUGAAGUGUGAGAGCGGCUUUCAUUUCAAAGCAUAUAUUUUGUUACGUAACAUUUGACAGCACAUUACACUGUACGUGUGAAGCACUUUGUGUCACUGGGACGUAUUAGCAACGUAUGAUAAAUAACCAGUUGGCGGUGAAUAAUAAACUGCUAUCGACUGUUGAGAUCAAUAUUCUCAUUCAUAUUUAAUGGAUCCCCAAGGGUUUGCAAACAACUGCCCCACUGCCAUUGUUUUUCCCAUUUUCUGCUAAGAAAUAUAUAUAUAUAUAGCUACAGUAUAUACAAGACGCUGUAGUUUGGUUUGGUGGUCGUGUCCAUCAGAUCCCUGAUACAUACCUCAUAACGUUCUUUUUCGUGUCUUAAAAUGACUUCAUUGAAGUAGAAUAGACCCAAACUCUGAUGUGACACACGUCCGAGCACCAUAUGCUGUGUUAAAACACUGAGAAACGUCCAAAAUAUAUGUACAGAGAAACUGUGGAACUGUAUAUAAACUGUAUGAUCAUGGAUAUGUUCAUUUAGGGUAUUUUUUGUAAGCUUUUUUUUUCUACCAAAAGCGUUUGAGAGAUCUGAACUGCAUGUAGAUAUCCUCUCAAAGUCUGCAUGCAGAAUCCUCUCUCUGUAAGUUCUGUUUACAAGUGUAAGAUAGAUGGAUUUCUGUAUUAAUAAAGAGAUUUUUUUUUAAUAAAUAUAGUUGUAUGUGAGUAGACGGGUCAAUCGGAUCCUAUUCACUGUUGUCUGAUCUGUAACAAACCAUUCAAGCAUUCCAAACCUCUGAAUUUAACAUGUCCAAAAAAAGAAAAGAAAAACAUUUUUCAUUAAUGCUACAUAUAGAAUGUAUAUAAAUCUAUCGACGACGACGACUUGUGAUAAAACAAUAACAGUGUGAAUGCAAUGUUGACCAAUAGAAAUAUAUCUAUAUGGAAAUGUUAUAAUGCAAAAUUUGUUUUAAUGUUGAAAAAAAAACCUUGUCUGGUUGUGUAUGUACAAGAGACUGUUGGUUUUGAAUGUUCUUGUGCUGUUUUUGUGACUAUUAAAGUGAAUAUCUUCUA